ensembl:lncRNA
UCCGCCAGGUGGCGCUGGAGUUCGAGGAGCAUUUGAACGUGGCGUUCAGCGUCGUGUCGGCCUCGUGCCAGACGGUGCACGAGUACCUGGGGGGGUACGUGUGCAUGGGGGGGCGCACGGCGGGACGGCAAAUGGACACGGAGCUGUUCCACAAGCUCACGGGGGGGAACGAGGAGCAGUGAGGGGGGGGGAGUCGUGCAAAGGGGGCCUGGUGCGAGAGGUACUUGUGUAAGGGGUCAUUGUGCGAGAGAUGAUUGUGUAAGGGGGUCAUUGUGCGAGAGAUGCUUGUGUAAGGGGUCAUUGUGCAAGAGAUGCUUGUGCAAGAGAUGCUUGUGCAAGAGAUCCUUGUGCAAAGGGGUCCUUGUGCGAGAGAUCCUUGUGCAAGAGAUACUUGUGCGAGAGAUGCUUGUGCAAGGGGUCCUGGUGCGAGAGAUCAUUGUGGAAAUGAGUUCUUGUGCAAGAGAUGAUUGUGCAAGAGAUGAUUGUGCAAAGGGGUCCUUGUGCAAAGGUGUCCUUGUGCAAGAGAUCCUUGUGUUAAGGGGUCCUGGUGCGAGAGAUACUUGUGUAAAUGGGUUAUUGUGUGAGAUCCUUGAGCAAAGGGGGCCUGGUGUGAGAGGUCCUUGUGCAAAGAGGUCCUUGUGCAAGAGAUCCUUGUGCAAAGGGGUCCUUUUGCGAGAGAUCCUUGUGUGAGAUAUUGUGCGAGAGAUCCUUGUGCAAAUGAGUUAUUGUGCGAGAGAUCCUUGUGCAAAGGGGCCCUUGUGUAAAAGAUCCUUGUGCAAUUGAGUUCCUGUGCAAGAGGUCCUUGUGCAAAGAGAUCCUUGUGCAAGAGAUCCUCUUGUGUCGGGCUCCAUGUGCAAGUGAUUCUUGUGUUAAUGGUUCCUUGUGUAAGAGAUCCUUGUGUAAGACACCCUACUGCAGUGGACUCCUUGUGCAAGAGAUCAAUGUGUGCAAGGCUACUUGUGCAAAAGAUACUUGUGCAAAGGGCUCCUUGUGCAAGAGAUCCGUGUGCAAAUGGCUCCUUGUGCAACAAUUCCUCGUGCAAAGAGCUCAUGGUACAAGAGAUCGUUGUGCAAAUGGAUCCUUGUGCAAGACAUCCUUGUGCAAAGGGCUCCUGGUGCAAGAGAUCCUCGUGCAAAUAAUUUCUUUUGCAAGAGAUCCUUGUGUUAAGGGUUCCUAGUGUAAGAGAUCCACGUGCAAGCGGCUCCUUGUGCAAGAGAUCCACGUGCAAAGGGCUCCUUGUGCAAGCAAACCUUGUGCAAAUGGAUCCUUGUGCAAGAGAUCCUUGUGCAACGGGUUCCUUGUGUAAAGAGAUCCUUGUGUUAAGGGUUCCGUGUGCAAGAGGCCCAUGUGCAAAUGGAUCCUUGUGCAAGCAAGCCUUGUGCAAAGGGCUCCUGGUGCAAGAGAUCCUACUGCAAAUGGAUCCUUGUGCAAGAGAUCCUUGUGCAAAGGGCUCCUGGUACAAGAGAUCCUUGUGCAAAUAAUUUCUUGUGUUAAGGGUUCCUAGUGUAAGAGAUCCACGUGCAAGGGGCUCCUUGUGCAAGAGAUCCUAGUGCAAAUGGAUCCUUGUGCAAGACAUCCUCGUGCAAAGGGCUCCUUAUACAAACAACCCUCGUGCAAAUCAUCCUCGUGCAAACCAUCCUCGUGCAAAAGAACCCCCCUUUGUUUAAAUGGCUCCUCGUGCAAACCCCCC